ACCAGCGCGCUGCUUCAUGUUCGACUUCACCUGUUUGUUCAGUCCUUCACAUUGAUCUUCUUCCCACUGGCCGUCUGGCUGCUGCUCAAAGUGCUCGCACUGACUGCCAUCGACCAAUGGCUGCUCAGAGGGUUACAGACGGUGAGCUGCAUGCCCCCUCCGGUCUCCUCGGCUGUAAUUCUCACCAAGGCUGUCGGAGGCAACGAGGCUGCUGCCAUCUUCAACUCCGCGUUUGGAAGCUUCCUGGGAAUCAUUGUGACUCCAGCGCUGCUGCUGCUGUUUCUGGGCUCUUCAUCCUCCGUUCCCUUCUCCUCCAUCUUCUCUCAGCUCUUCAUGACUGUGGUGGUUCCUCUGAUCCUGGGUCAGGUGUGUCGUGGUUUCGUCAGGGAGUAUCUGGAGAGGCGAAAGCCUCCGUUUGGCGCCGUCAGCAGCGCCGUCCUCCUCAUGAUCAUCUACACCACUUUCUGUGACACCUUCAGUAACCCCAACAUUGAGCUGGACCCCACCAGUCUGCUGCUGGUCGUCCUCAUCAUUUUCUCCAUCCAGCUCAGCUUCAUGCUGCUCACGUUUGCCUUUUCCACCAGGUCGGGUUCAGGAUUCAGCCCUGCAGACACAGUCGCCAUUGUAUUCUGCUCCACUCACAAGUCUCUCACUUUGGGUAUCCCCAUGCUUAAGAUUGUGUUUGAGGGCUACGAGCAUCUCUCUCUGAUCUCAGUUCCUCUGUUGAUCUACCAUCCGGCUCAGAUCCUGCUCGGCUCCGUCCUUGUACCAACCAUACGCAGCUGGAUGACCACCCGGCAGAAGUCUAGUCUGUUGUUGAGAUAGGGCCGCAUUCCAACACUGCUGUCCUGAAGUGCAACCGACAGGCUCCUGGAUUUCUGGACGUUUGAGAAGUUUUAUAUUCGAUAAAUGUGCAUGAAAAUUGAAAUAGUACCAGUGUACACAGAAGGGGGUGAAACUGUCAGCUCUUCAGCCCAUCUGACGAAGAUGAGUGUUUUGGUGAUUCAGCGCAAGCGUGUGUGUGUUUUUGUUUUCUGUGAUGGCGGACUACAGUGGAGUUUUAUGUGCCUUAUUACAACAGAUCAACAGAGACCUCAGUGCAGCGGAAAAGAACAAGGAGCGCCAGCCUCCUUGAUGUUCUCAGUUUCUACAACAACAAAAAACUCAUAUUUCAUAUUUCCAUCAUAUUCUUUUAUUUAAAAGAAUCAAAAGUACAAUUUUUAUUUUUAUAUGAAAUACCUGAAAUUUCCUGCAGAAAGAGGACAGCUGUUAGGGGUGUUUUGGUUUGGAAAACAGCACCUUCCAGCAGGAACAAGAAGGGUGGAGUUACUGGGACCAUUCUUUUUUAUUGUUCUUGGUAUUUUCUACUUUUUUGUACUCUUGCUGUCACUGCCAGAAAAUGUAGACAUUUAUGUUCUUGAUAGAAACAAACUAAUGCUGGACGCAGUCAUGACAGCUGAUUUUUUCCUUUUGAGGAUAUGGUGUUGUGUUAACCAAUGAACUAUCCAAAUGAUGAAGGUAUGACAUGAACAUUGAAGUAGGGAGUCUAAUUUAACAAAAUAUCAUUAUCUUUCCUGGUUUCUUGCAGAUAGUUUACGUGUCUUUAAUUGCAUUAUUCACACAUUUACUCACUCUGUUUUUAUGUUUUAGUCUUGAUCAGUUUCCUGUCCACACGUUUGCCCCACACGUACUGGUUCUGACAUUCUGACAAGGACAAUUUUAACUUGGACCAAUAAGCAGGCAGGAUUAUAAUCUGGGUUCCUAUCAAGCAGAUGUUAUCCAGCAGAAAAAAGGAUUCCAAUGCAAAUAUUAUUUUGAAAGAUUAUGUCCUACAAAUAUUGUAUGUAAAUAAUAUCCUAUUCUAAAUCUAUCUGAGUGAUGAGGUGAUGUUGACGGACAUAUUAUUUUGCUGCUGAAAUCUCACAAUGACAAUGCUAACAUGCUGAUGUUUAGCAGCUACCAUCUUUGUGUUAGCAUGCUAACAUUUGCUAAUUAGCACUAAACACAAAGUACAGCUAAGUCAGUGUCAUUAGUUUUGAAGGUAUUUGGUCAAAAAACAAAGUAUCGGACAUUUUGACCUUCGGAAAAUUUUGACCAGAUGACGGCACUAGAUGAAAAGUCAGGGGAUUACCAAAGUCUGUAGGAUCCAUCCUCUGGGACCCGUGAAUGUCAUUACAAAAUGCCACCUUUAACAAUCCAUGUUGUAGAAGUUGAGAUAUUUCACAGCAUCAAGUGAAACUAUUUGGCCCUCAGGUGGCGGUAGAGAAUAACCAAAGUAAUUCACACCUGCUAUCUCAAAUUAAGUAUUGGAUAGUGGAGUUUUAUAUUAUAAUGUGCUAUUUAUGUGUUGUUAAAUGGACCCUGUAUUUGUUGGCUUUAUCAUUAUACACUUGUGCACGGUUUGCACACUGGAAAAGUGCCUGGAAUUUGUUGUUCUUAUGUUCUCUUGAAUUUUAACACCCCUGAAUGUAACGAGGGCUCCUCUAUAUCACAUUAAGGCAGUGGUUCCUCCUCCAGUUUGGAAUAGAUUGAUGUAUUUGUCUGACCAAAUGGGGAAAAACACUCAGGGAAUUACUCAGGCAGCUUAUUAAUUUCAUCUACACAACUUUUCUGGACAGAUGGCACUUUUUUCACAUCAUUUGAAUGAAGAAAUAAUAGAAUGAGACAGGGAAAGCCCUGCCAACAGACCCUGGAGGCCUUGUGCCACUUCUAACACGCAACCAGACCCAAGUGAUUUGAAAUGACUAAGCAACUAGCACUGCCAUCCAUAAAAGCUCACACAACAAAAGCUAAAACAAAGAAACAUACAAUGGAUAAUACUGAAAAUAUACUUUAUUAUUCAGUGCAUCCAAAUGAUUUAUGACAAUUUACAAAUAAAUGUUUAAUAUUA